rnacentral:lncRNA from 1 species
GCCAACUUGUAGGCUACCACACCAACUCGUUCCAAAAUCUCGAAGGGUCCGAUAUAGCGGGGACUUAGCUUCCCGCGAACACCGAACCGCUUAACUCCUCGCAUCGGUGAUACUUUUAGAAAUACGCGGUCUCCAACCGCGAACUCAAUAUCCUUUCGUCGCUUGUCCGCAUAACUCUUAUGCCUUGAUUGUGCCGUCGCUAAUCUUUGUCGGGCAAGGCGAACUUUCUAUUCCACCUCCUGCACCACGUCCGGGCCAAGAACCAUCUUUUCGCCCACAUCGCUCCAGUGUAUUGGCGAGCGACAUUUCCUUCCAUACAGGGCC